CUGAACCAAAGCCUUCGGGAAAAGAGACCUGAUGAGGGCGCAGAUUUCGGAGAGGCCUGGCUCCUAUCUCCUCAUUGAGGAGUUAUGCUCUAAGCUCAAGCUUAGACAAGUGACAGUGCAAGACAAAACAUUUUCAGCAACGUCACAACAAUGGUGUAACACCUCGGUUAGGAGCGGGGCUUCAGCGUACGUGAUGCUUCUCAGACGUGCAAUGCAAGUCAGCCCCAGCCCUGAACAGAUGGCAGACUGCUCUGCACAGAUGAACCUCCUGCCCUGUUGCAGUGAAUGGGACGCUGGCUGCUCUGCACAGCUUGCGGGAUCGAUGCCUAAUUAAAGACAAGAGGCAACAAGUGAGCAUCACAGGAGCGGGGAGAUCGGAAGGGACUGAGCUGGGCUAACAGGCAUUAAUGCAGUCUUCGGGGAGCGGCAGCACUGAAGUCAC
rnacentral:lncRNA from 1 species